UGGGUGUAGUGUCAUGUGCCUGUAGUCCCAGCUACUUGGGAGACUAAGGCAGGAGAAUCUCUUGAACCUGAGAGGCAGAGGUUGCAGUGAGCCAAAAUCAUGCCACUGCACUCCAGCCUGGUGACAGAAUGAGAUUCCAUCUCAAAAAAUAAAUAAAUAAAUAAAUAAAUAUAAAUUUUAAAAACGAUAAAAUAAGAAGCAUUCUGCAUACUUCGUGCAGCAAUUCUGCCACAGCCCCUAACGACGGCCACUUCUCAUUCCAAAUCCUGCCCUACGUUUUUCCUGUUUCAGGUUCAGUUUCAGUUUUAGAAUAAAUGAUUAAUCCAAUUCACCUGGAGCAAACGGCAGGAGACAUCCUGCUUUGGUUGUAAUAAAAUUUCAUUGCAAAUGCACUGAUCAAAGUCACAGUGAAAUAUUACAGGGUCUAGAGACCCAAGAGAAUACAACCAAGAAUAAAGGAAACAAAAAAACUGUUUGGAACCCCGUUCUGGGAAGAACGUUACCUUCAGACGCUGUCAUGGAUAUGCCUCAGUCCUUAUACUCAUGCUAGUGCAUUCGUCAGUUUUCACACUGCUAUAAAGAAAUACCCAAGACUGGGUCACUUGUGAAAGACGGAGGUUUAACUGACUGGCAUUUCUGUGUCACUGGGGAGCCCUCAGGAAACUUACGAUCAUGGCAGAAGGGGAAGCAGGCACCUCUUACACGGUGAGAGAGAGCGUGUGUGAAGGAGGAACCCUCAGACACUUCUAAAACUGUCAGGGAUCUUCUGAGAACUCACUCAUUGUCAGGAGAACAGCACUGGGGGACCGUCCCCAUGAUCCAAUCACCUCCUUCCCUCUACAGGUGGAGAACGACUAGGCUGAAACCGAGGGCCACUGAAGCACAUGCUAGAAAUAUUAAGUCUGGGCAUCUGGUUCGAAUUCAUUUCAGUGGCAGAAGAGUCUUAUCAAUUACAUGCUCAAAAAGAAUCAACAAUAUCACUGUAGAACACAGAGAGGCCAAGCAUUAUUUACCUCGGUGGACUGAGGUAACCUCAGCUCCAGAGAUCUGCAACUCAACCCGAGCACGGCCGUCUUUGGCUCAGAAAACCUUGUCCAGUUUUCAGCACGCAGACCGUGUAUGCAUCUGGUGUAUCCCAAAUGAAAUGGAAACCACCACGUUGUUACAAAAAGCUUGGUGCUGUGGUGAGCAAGUUCCUGGCUAUCAACUCCAGGGUACCAGAGUGAAGGGGUAAGAGUCCAGGCACCAGGCUUGAAGACACAUUGGAACGAAGUAAACGCCCUUCUGACAACCAUGGGUGUUGCAGCCAAACCCUUUCUGAUCCUAGCCUCCUCGUCUGUAUGAAGGGCUGCCAAGGAGGUAGCAUGAGCUAUGCACGUAGUACUUGCCGCAAUAUUUACCACAGAGGAAGUCCUCUGCAAACAUUAGCUAUCGCAUUAUUAAAGCGCCUGCCGUUUUACGGUGACUUCCUCUUUUCACAUUAAUCUAUCUUAUUUUGCGAUCAUCCUGUUCAUGUUACAGACCUGAAAGCUGACAGAAGAUCACAAUUGCCACUACAGUACGUAUUCUACCCUUUGGUCGUUUAUUUUGGCACAGUCUAAAGCACUGGGCAGCACAUAGAAGAGUCCAGUAAAUCUUCGGCAAAUUAAGGAGACUGCACUAUUAAGAGCAUUAGCAUUCAUUCUGUAUUUUCUUUGCGCUGGGCCCCGUCCUAAGUGUUUUACAUGCUUGAACUCCGUUAAUCUUCACUAGCAGUCCUGAAAUGUAAAGACUGUAUGAAUGAAAUACAUUUUUUGAUGAAUUAAAAGAAUGCCAUUUUCGUUGCCAUAGCAACACAGGUCUGAAAAUAUGAAUCCGAUUUUAGAAGACAUAAUCACUGUUUUCUCUUGUUUUCUACCUCGGUCUUAAUGUGCCGUUGAAGGUAUUUAUAUGAAAAUAGCUACAGCAUGGGUCCUGCCCCCAAGGAGAUUUUUAUCAUUGAUAUCACUGCUUCCCAAGAUUGCAAGUGGUUGUUCUAGAAUAUAGAUCCCCAAAAAUUUGGUAGAGCAGCAGUUCAUGCAAUAAGGCACCCAGACCCAGGAUGUUCUUGGUAACAUUUCAGAGACCCGUAAAACCAAAGGAAGAAAGUUGGCGGGUAGUUGGGAAA
ensembl:lncRNA